UGUAUCUAAAGCCGACCACAGCCACGCUGGUGGCGGGACUUGGCACGCAGUCCCUGCCAGCAUUAUCAGACAGGCCAGAUGUUGGAGGCUGCUAUCAGGGGCUACGUUGACUCUGCCUGAGCGUGCCUGCCUUCUCCUGCCAAGAGCUGCCAUAGACCUUUUAAAAUCAGCGCCGCCGAGGAGCAGGCUCGUAGCAGGAGCCAAUCAGGACCCACAUUCAUCCUCCACUCCUCCCACCUCCGGAUGAGGUCAAAGGCCUUGGUCAGUUGCUCCUGGACCGCAGCUGCGAGCCGAGAGGUCGCCGCGGUUGCUCCGCUCGCCCGCCCGCUGCCCGCAUGGCUCUGAGAGGCGUCUCCGCGCGGCUGCUGAGCCGCGGACCCGGCCUGCCCAUCCUGCGCACGUGGGUCUCGGCGGCCACGCAGACCGAGAAGGGCGCGAAGGCACACCCGCGACCCACCAAGGCCCCUCGUCCGGAGUUCGACUGGCGGGACCCGCUGGUGCUGGAGGAGCAGCUGACGGC